ACGGUGAGUAACACGUAUCCAACCUGCCGUCUACUCUUGGACAGCCUUCUGAAAGGAAGAUUAAUACAAGAUGGCAUCAUGAGUCCGCAUGUUCACAUGAUUAAAGGUAUUCCGGUAGACGAUGGGAAUGCGUUCCAUUAGAUAGUAGGCGGGGUAACGGCCCACCUAGUCUUCGAUGGAUAGGGGUUCUGAGAGGAAGGUCCCCCACAUUGGAACUGAGACACGGUCCAA
rnacentral:rRNA from 1 species